ACGGUGGCUCUCAGAACAACAGCUUUCUUAGUCAGUUGGAUGCUGGUGUCUGUUGCAGGUUCUGGAUGCCGGUCGGAUCCGGGCCUUUGCAGAACCCUUGGUGCUGCUGCAGGAUCCAGACGGCUUCUUCUUCAAGAUGGUUCAGCAGACGGGCAAACAGGAAGCUGCAGCUUUACAUGAAGCAGCCAUAAAGGCUUUCAACAGCAGCCAACGUCCCGCCGCGCCGGCUAACGGACACGCAGAGACGGCGGACGGUCACCUGGUCAUCUUUGAAACGGCUCUGUGAGCUCAGACACGCUGCUGCCUCAGAACGGAGGAGUCCGGCCCGAGAGGGUCCAGCCUCUGAUGGAAGCACUUCCCUGCUGCUGGGACGCUGCUCCACAGCCGGCAUCAAACACCACAACCAUGCACAAAGCUUGUAGAGAGAAAGAGAGCUGAAGAGUUCUCCUCUUCCUCACAGGCGAGCGUUGUUGAGAGGAUGAAGAGUUUGUUUCUGUAAAUACUUUGCUGCACUAAAUGAACAUUUCAGUUUUUGGACUUUAUGUGUUUUUGAAGCAGCUGAAGACUCAAAAACUCUUCAUACAAAUAUUUAUAAAAAACCUCAAAAAUAAAUUAGGCUUUCAAGAA